UCCCUGGUGGCCUAGAGGUUAAAGAUUCAGCAUUGUCACUGCUGUGACACAGGUUAGAUCCCUGACCAGGGGA
rnacentral:tRNA from 1 species